rnacentral:rRNA from 1 species
GUGGGGAAUAUUGGGCAAUGGGCGCAAGCCUGACCCAGCAACGCCGCGUGAAGGAAGAAGGCUUUCGGGUUGUAAACUUCUUUGACAGGGGACGAAACAAAUGACGGUACCCUGAAAACAAGCCACGGCUAACUACGUGCCAGCAGCCGCGGUAAUACGUAGGUGGCGAGCGUUGUCCGGAUUUACUGGGUGUAAAGGGCGCGUAGGCGGACUGGCAAGUCAGAUGUGAAAUACAGGGGCUCAACCCCUGAACUGCAUUUGAAACUGUUGGUCUUGAGUAUCGGAGAGGCAAGCGGAAUUCCUAGUGUAGCGGUGAAAUGCGUAGAUAUUAGGAGGAACACCAGUGGCGAAGGCGGCUUGCUGGACGACAACUGACGCUGAGGCGCGAAAGCGUGGGGAGCAAACAGGAUUAGAAACCCCUGUAGUCC